UUAUAUGGUGUAGCGAUCACGCUACUAAUUAAAUUAAUUUAAUUAAAAUUGGAUUAAAAAAAUACCCCUCUAGAAAAUCCUUGGGUGACGCCCGCGAAGAUCCAACAACGACCUUUCGCUGCACGUGCACAGACGCGCCAAUAGGAACAAAAUCGAUUUUUGUCGAUUUCUACUCUAGUUUAGUUGGUCACGAGCUCGCAAAUAGGCAACACAUCGUCAUUAUUUAGGUGACGGAGUUUGAGCAAAAAUUGGGAAAAAUCUAACUAAAAGGCCUCGAGCAUCAGCCAAUAACCCGUGCUAAUAAUAAUAAAUCAGUAGUUAUAUCUGGAGACUUAUUUACAGGAAAGAAAAAAGGUUAUAAUACCGCCGAUGUGUUGUUUGCUUCAAAUUCCGUCACUUAGUCACGUAUUUAGACUCAUAGUCAUUUUGUCACGUAGCGUAACUUUACGUCAAUCUACACAAAUAUGUACCAGUUGGAUUGCUAGCCACUGUGUGAUAGUUUACCCCUAGAGUGGGCUGUUUUUUUUUUGUUGGAUCAUACACCAUACCUGCUUUUUACUUCACCCAGGACCUUACAGAAGGACUUAUUCACCACAGCAUCCCACCAGCUUUAUUGUGCCAAGAGGAAAUUCAUUCCUAUCUGGACUUCAACUUCUUAAUAGGGGCUGUGAUAAGAUAAGUUUGUUAACCUUUUAUAUACUUUUGGUCACUAUAUAAUAUAUUUGCUACAGUGUAAACUUUUCGUGUGCAUACGAGAAAGUAAACUACAGUAGGUACAUAUUUGUUUCAUGAUAGAUAGGUUUUUUUGGUCGUUGUUUUGUUUUGAUUCAAUAUAAGUAGUAGUUUCAAAUAAAUAAAAUUAGGUUUUGUUCAAUAAUCAUUAUAAAUAAUUGUAUCUUAAAAAUUUGAUAGGGAAGGGGUUGUUAAAAUUUUUGUCGAGUUUUUUAAAUAGGGAAUAUGUCUGGUAGGUUUGUUUGUAUAAAUAUGAUAUAAAGAGUCACUGACCAACUCAUUUAUAUAACUCAUUAUAUAAUUAUUAAUAUUUUGCUAGGUGAAAUACUUACUUUUUGGUAACCGUAGCGUUCUAGUCGUGUGUAUUUCACUCUAGGUUAGUUCAAUUUAGGGAAUAAUUACUAACUUUUAGUUGUAAGGACUUUGUGCUAUUCCAACGGACUUUUGCUUUGGAUUUUCUAUUAAUACCUUUACUUAGCGCAGUGUGUAGUGGUUAAUUGCAUGUUAGUGGCUUUUUGGCUCCUGUUUGACCUUUACACCACCACUGCCACUGUUAUUGUGUUUAUAGAGUUAUAUGUAACUUGUAAUAUAUAUAACAUAUUUAUUGUUAAUAUAUUUGUUAUUAGAAA